AUUGGGUAGGGGAGCGUUCUGUAAGCGGUUGAAGGUGUGUGGUAACGCAUGCUGGACGUAUCAGAAGUGCGAAUGCUGACAUGAGUAACGAUAAAGGGGGUGAAAAACCUCCUCGCCGGAAGACCAAGGGUUCCUGUCCAACGUUAAUCGGGGCAGGGUAAGUCGACCCCUAAGGCGAGGCCGAAAGGCGUAGUCGAUGGGAAACGGGUUAAUAUUCCCGUACUUCUUACAAUUGCGAUGGGGGGACGGAGAAGGCUAGGUGGGCCUGGCGACGGUUGUCCAGGUUCAAGUGCGUAGGCUUAAGAGUUAGGUAAAUCCGGCUCUUUUUAAGGCUGAGACACGACGUCGAGCAUCUACGGAUGUGAAGUCAUUGAUGCCAUGCUUCCAGGAAAAGCCUCUAAGCUUCAGAUUGUAAGGAAUCGUACCCCAAACGACACAGGUGGUCGGGUAGAGAAUACCAAGGCGCUUGAGAGAACUCGGGUGAAGGAACUAGGCAAAAUGGUACCGUAACUUCGGGAGAAGGUACGCUCUCGACGGUGAAGUCCCUUGCGGAUGGAGCUAUUGAGAGUCGCAGAUACCAGGUGGCUGCAACUGUUUAUUAAAAACACAGCACUGUGCAAAAUCGUAAGAUGACGUAUACGGUGUGACGCCUGCCCGGUGCCGGAAGGUUAAUUGAUGGGGUUAGACUUC
rnacentral:rRNA from 1 species